rnacentral:piRNA from 1 species
UAGUUCCUUCUGUGUGUGUUCACCUGCUC